rnacentral:lncRNA from 1 species
AUAUGAAUAAAAUAGAACAAAAAAAUAAAAAUAAAAAUCACCCCCACCUGCGAUGUGCAGGGUCCAAAAUUUAAACCACUUGGGCUAUAAAAAUUGUAUUAAAGUAAAUUAUCAAAUGAAGCUCAAUAGAAUCGAGACUUGAAAGCAAUGGCGAGACCUAACUUAGGUUUAGCAAUGGUGGUCUUUGUUUCGUACUUAUGCCGAAACUGAUACAAGGGAUUUAGGCCUUUAUUCCUGCUAGCCUAAUAAAGAAACCUGUCUAAUGUCAGAGAAUUCUCCCCCCGUUUGAGUCACAUUAUUGUAAAAAUGAGAAUGAAAAAUAUAGUCUUUAUGGGCCCCACACAAAAGAUAAAAAAUCAAAUAUGGAUGUGAUGGAUAAUUGUUAUAUUUUUCAUUUUAAUGAGAAAAUAAUGAGACUCAAAUAGGGCCGACUAUGGUACGAUGAAUAACAAAAGAAAUCUUAUAUAUACUCUCUGUACUCUA